AGCCCCGUGGUGCAGCGGCCAAGCAUUCGGGCCUUUGGAGCCUGAGACGGCGGUUCGAAUCCGCCCGGGGCUA
rnacentral:tRNA from 1 species